rnacentral:rRNA from 1 species
GCUGGCGGCAGGCUUAACACAUGCAAGUCGAGCGGGUGUAGCAAUACAUCAGCGGCAGACGGGUGAGUAACGCGUGGGAACAUACCUUUUGGUUCGGAACAACCCAGGGAAACUUGGGCUAAUACCGGAUAAGCCCUUACGGGGAAAGAUUUAUCGCCGAAAGAUUGGCCCGCGUCUGAUUAGCUAGUUGGUGAGGUAAUGGCUCACCAAGGCGACGAUCAGUAGCUGGUCUGAGAGGAUGAUCAGCCACAUUGGGACUGAGACACGGCCCAAACUCCUACGGGAGGCAGCAGUGGGGAAUAUUGGACAAUGGGGGCAACCCUGAUCCAGCCAUGCCGCGUGAGUGAUGAAGGCCCUAGGGUUGUAAAGCUCUUUUGUGCGGGAAGAUAAUGACGGUACCGCAAGAAUAAGCCCCGGCUAACUUCGUGCCAGCAGCCGCGGUAAUACGAAGGGGGCUAGCGUUGCUCGGAAUCACUGGGCGUAAAGGGUGCGUAGGCGGGUCUUUAAGUCAGGGGUGAAAUCCUGG